rnacentral:ncRNA from 1 species
CCCUCACCACAGAUUAUGGCGUAUGUCUGGUCGUAAAAGGGAGUUUGGCUCAAUCUUCCUUUGCGCCGCAUACUGCCAGUUCGAUGCACCUCUGGAACCGUACCUCCGGUACAUGGAUGCGGUCCUGCUGCAGCAGGCCGUACCAAAAUCCGCAGCUGGUCUCCAAGGUGAAGAGUCUCUAGUCGAUAGAAUAAUGUAGGUAAGGGAAGUCGGCAAAUUAGAUCCGUAACUUCGGGAUAAGGAUUGGCUCUGAAGAUUGAGAUAGUCGGGCUUGAUUGGGAAACAAUAACAUGGUUUAUGUGCUCGUUCUGGGUAAAUAGAGUUUCUAGCAUUUAUGUUAGUUACUUGUUCCCUGGAUAGUUUAGUUACGUAGCCAAUUGUGGAACUUUCUUGCUAAAAUUUUUAAGAAUACUAUUUGGGUUAAACCAAUUAGCUCUUAUCAAUUAUAACGAUUAUCAAUUAACAAUCAAUUCAGAACUGGCACGGACUUGGGGAAUCCGACUGUCUAAUUAAAACAAAGCAUUGUGAUGGCCCUAGCGGGUGUUGACACAAUGUGAUUUCUGCCCAGUGCUCUGAAUGUCAAAGUGAAGAAAUUCAAGUAAGCGCGGGUCAACGGCGGGAGUAACUAUGACUCUCUGAGGGAUCUGGGGUAAUUGCGAGCAGAGGGGGAGUAUUUUUCUGUAAUUCGUAAGUCAUAUCAUAUGGUGUGGGGAAGGGGAAUUUUACUCUGUAACUCACAAGUCUCUCCUUUACUCAAGUCGACUCAAAACCUCCUCGUGGUGGUCCCCGGUAAUGCUAAACUUGUUUAGCAGCUAAUUUGAGCGGCAAAAACUUUUCCGAUGGGCUGGUUCCCCAGAGGAAAUUUACUCAUAUUGGAACUACGAAUACAAAUAACGAGCCUCGGAUAUCUUUAUACAAUCUGAUGACGACUCGACCCUCUGCGGAUAGCUUCCCGGAGGACCACUAUGAACCCCCCCCCCCGGCUCCUCUAUCUACGGUUCUCUGUAAACCAUGUGGCCGGCCCUUUAACCGCAAGAGAGGACUCGGUGUUCACCUCCGCUCUCGGCACUCAGAUCAACUUGAUGAUGAACUCCGACGUGUCCAUAUAAAGGCAACGUCGAGUGAGGAAGAGAAGUGGAUGAUGGCGAGAAAGG